GCCACAUGAUGUUUUGAUGUUGAGCGAGCGCUGCGCGGUGACGACCUUAAUCUAUCACCCUUGACUGAUGGCU
ensembl:snoRNA SNORD83 Small nucleolar RNA SNORD83